CUACAUAUCAAUAAGCGGAGGAAAAGAAACCAACAGGGAUUGCCUCAGUAACGGCGAGUGAAGCGGCAACAGCUCAAAUUUGAAACCUGGCGCAAGCCCGGAUUGUAAUUUGUAGAGGAUGCUUCUGGGCAGCGGCCGUUCUAAGUUCCUUGGAACAGGACAUCAUAGAGGGUGAGAAUCCCGUAUGUGACCGGCGCGCACCCUCCACGUAGCUCCUUCGACGAGUCGAGUUGUUUGGGAAUGCAGCUCUAAAUGGGUGGUAAAUUCCAUCUAAAGCUAAAUACCGGCCAGAGACCGAUAGCGCACAAGUAGAGUGAUCGAAAGAUGAAAAGCACUUUGGAAAGAGAGUUAAAAAGCACGUGAAAUUGUUGAAAGGGAAGCGCUUGCAACCAGACUCCGCGGCGGUGUUCCGCCGGUCUUCUGACCGGUCCACUCGCCGCCGUGGGGCCAACAUCGUCUGGGGCCGCCGGAUAAGACCGCAGGAAUGUAGCUCCUAGAGUGUUAUAGCCUGCGGUGAUGCGGCGCGUCCCGGGCGAGGUCCGCGCUUCGGCAAGGAUGUUGGCGUAAUGGUUGUCAGCGGCCCGUCUUGAAACACGGACCAAGGAGUCUAACAUCUAUGCGAGUGUUCGGGUGUCAAACCCCUACGCGUAAUGAAAGUGAACGGAGGUGGGAGCUUCGGCGCACCAUCGACCGAUCCUGAUGUCCUCGGAUGGAUUUGAGUAAGAGCAUAGCUGUUGGGACCCGAAAGAUGGUGAACUAUGCCUGAAUAGGGUGAAGCCAGAGGAAACUCUGGUGGAGGCUCGCAGCGGUUCUGACGUGCAAAUCGAUCGUCAAAUUUGGGUAUAGGGGCGAAAGACUAAUCGAACCAUCUAGUAGCUGGUUCCUGCGAGCCU
rnacentral:rRNA from 1 species